rnacentral:rRNA from 1 species
GUAGGUGGCAAGCGUUGUCCGGAAUUAUUGGGCGUAAAGCGCGCGCAGGCGGGGUCCUUUAAGUCUGAUGUGAAAGCCCACGGGCUCAACCGUGGAGGGUCAUUGGAAACUGGGGGACUUGAGUACAGAAGAGGAAAGCGGAAUUCCAAGUGUAGCGGUGAAAUGCGUAGAGAUUUGGAGGAACACCAGUGGCGAAGGCGGCUUUCUGGUCUGUAACUGACGCUGAGGCGCGAAAGCGUGGGGAGCAAACAGGAUUAGAUACCCUGGUAGUCCACGCCGUAAACGAUGAGUGCUAAGUGUUAGGGGGUUUCCGCCCCUUAGUGCUGCAGCUAACGCAUUAAGCACUCCGCCUGGGGAGUACGGCCGCAAAGGCUG